rnacentral:misc_RNA from 1 species
AAAUGCGAUAAGUAAUGUGAAUUGCAGAAUUCAGUGAAUCAUCGAAUCUUUGAACGCACCUUGCGCUCCUUGGUAUUCCUUGGAGCAUGCCUGUUUGAGUAUCAUGAAAUCUUCAAAGUAAAUCUUUUAUUAACUCAAUUGGUUUCUACUUUGGUAUUGGAGGUCUUUGCAGCUUCACACCUGCUCCUCUUUGUUCAUUAGCUGGAUCUCAGUGUUAUGCUUGGUUCCACUCGGCGUGAUAAGUUAUCUAUCGCUGAGGACACUGUAAAAGGUGGCCAAGGUAAAUGCAGAUGAACCGCUUCUAAUAGUCCAUUGACUUGGACAAUACUUUUAUGAUCUGAUCUCAAAUCAGGUAGGACUACCCGCUGAACUUAAGC